CAUUUAUGAUUAAUUUUAUAAUCCAGUCUGGUAGUUUUAAGAAGCGAGUUCUUGCAUCCGCCCUAUUCGAAUCGGCGGGGCGGUGGAGCGCCAGCGAGCCCAAGGUCUCCCAGGCGAGCAUGGCAGGACUGGAGGGCUCCCGGCAGGGCGCCUCGGCGUCCAUCGGGACCCCGACGGAGGUGCCGGAGAUCUUUCGGCUACAACGCCGGGCAGGUGGGGCUCGUUAGCCGUGGUAGGCAAUCUGCCUAGGAGAGCAAACUCCGAACAACAAACCCGGGCAGGUGAGGUUCGUUAGCCGUGGUAGGCAAUUCACCUAGGAGAGCAAACUCCGAACAAUAAACCCGGGCAGGUUGGGCUCGUGAGCCGUCAUAGGUAAUACACCUAGGAGAGCAAACUCCGAACAAUAAACCCGGGCAGGUGGAGGUCGUUAGCGAAAGCAGUUCAUCUAGGAGAGCAAACUCCGAUUACAAAACCGGGCAGGUGGAGGUCGUUAGCGUGAGCAGUUCACCUAGGAGAGCAAACUCCGAUUACAAACCCGGACAGGUGGAGGUCGUUAGCGAAAGCAGUUCACCUAGGAGAGCAAACUCCGAUUACAAACCCGGGCAGGUGAGGUUCGUUAGCCGUGGUAGGCAAUUCACCUAGGAGAGCAAACUCCGAACAAUAAACCCGGGCAGGUUGGGCUCGUGAGCCGUCAUAGGUAAUACACCUAGGAGAGCAAACUCCGAUCAUAAAACCCGGGCAGGUGGAGCUCGUCAGCCGUCAUAGGUAA